GACGAACGCUGGCGGCGUGCUUAACACAUGCAAGUCGAACGGUAAGGCCCUUCGGGGUACACGAGUGGCGAACGGGUGAGUAACACGUGGGUGAUCUGCCCUGCACUCUGGGAUAAGCCUGGGAAACUGGGUCUAAUACCGGAUAUGAGCUCCUGUCGCAUGGCGGGGGUUGGAAAGGUUUACUGGUGCAGGAUGGGACGGCGGCCUAUCAGCUUGUUGGGGGGGUAAUGGCCUACCAAGGCGACGACGGGUAGCCGGCCUGGGAGGGUGACCGGGCACACUGGGACUGAGACACGGCCCCGACUCCUACGGGAGGAAGCAGUGGGGAAUAUUGCACAAUGGGCGAAAGCCUGAUGCAGCGACGCCGCGUGAGGGAUGACGGCCUUCGGGUUGUAAACCUCUUUCAGCAGGGACGAAGCGAGAGUGACGGUACCUGCAGAAGAAGCACCGGCCAACUACGUGCCAGCCGCCGCCGUAA
rnacentral:rRNA from 1 species